GUGCACCAGGCGCGAAACCUCCGCAAUACACGAAAGUGUGACGGGGCCAUCCCGAGUGCCGUCCGCUGAGGACGGCUUUUCCCCAGUGUACACAGCUGGGGGAAUAAGGAGAGGGCAAGCCUGGUGUCAGCCGCCGCGGUAAUACCAGCUCUCCGAGUGGUGGGGACGCUUAUUGGGCCUAAAGCAUCCGUAGCCGGCUGGGCAAGUCCUCCGUUAAAUCCAACGAUUUAAUCGUUGGGCUGCGGGGGAUACUGUCCAGCUUGGGGGCGGGAGAGGCCGACGGUAUUCCCGGGGUAGGGGUGAAAUCCUAUAAUCCCGGGAGGACCACCAGUGGCGAAGGCUGUCGGCUAGAACGCGCCCGACGGUGAGGGAUGAAAGCUGGGGGAGCGAACCGGAUUAGAUACCCGGGUAGU
rnacentral:rRNA from 1 species